AUUGAACGCUGGCGGCAGGCCUCACACAUGCAAGUCGAGCGGAGCGGCGGACGGGUGAGUAAUGCCUAGGAAUCUGCAUGGUAGAGGGGGAUAACGUCCGGAAACGGGCGCUAAUACCGCAUACUAUCAGAUGAGCCUAGGUCGGAUUAGCUAGGUGGUGGGGUAAAGGCAUACCAGGGCGACUAUCCGUAACUGGUCUGAGAGGAUGAUCAGUCCCACUGGAACUUGGACACGGGCCAGCGUCCUACGGGAGGAAGCAGUGGGGAAUAUUGGACAAGGGGCGAAAGCCUGAUCCAGCCAUGCCGAGUGUGGGAAGAAGGUCUUCGGAUUGUAAAGCACUUUAAGUUGGGAGGCGUUACCAACAGAAUAAGCAACGGCUAACUUCGUGCCAGCAGCCGCGGUAAUUC
rnacentral:rRNA from 1 species